GGUUCUGUAGUGUAAGUGGUUAGCAUGUUGGACUUUGAAUCCAACGAUCCGGGUUCAAAUCCCGGCAGAACCU
rnacentral:tRNA from 1 species